ACCCUACUUUUGUUUAUGCUAUAAAAUUUGGACCAGUCAUUGAUAUGGGUAGUUUAUUGAGUCAAUGAAGCACGGAUUAAACCACUGGGUCACUAAUUGAACCAGUUGAAUUGGUAUGUAUUCCAAAAUAUAAAAAAAAUAAUAACUGGAAAUUGCAUACUUACAGAAAUUCCAAAAUAGAUUCAUAUAAUAACUUAACAUUUGGUAACUAUACCUUAAUAUUUCAUACUAUACUUAAGUAGAUAUUCAUAAAUUUAUUUUCAAUUCUAUGAUUCUAUUGUGGAACAUCAUUUAUAACUGUUAGGGUGACUCGGCGGUCAAGUCACCGGUUUUCAUGCCAAAAGAUUGCACUAGCUCCUCAAACCAUGUUUCGUAGGGGAAGUCGAGUACAUCCUGAACCACAGCAGGAAGAACAACCAGGAGGAGAAGGAGGACAACCAGCUGGAGGAGGAGGUGGUGGUGGACAGCCAGGAGGAGGUGAUGGAGGACACGCAUACACAGCUGUAGCUGUAGUUGGAGUUGUUUUCCUGAUCAGUUUAAUUGUAAGAACAACUUCUUCAUCAUUCUUUCUUUCUUUCUUUAUUUCUCAAUGAUCCUUCAUUUAUGUUUUUGGGUCUAAUCUAUUAAUCGCAUGGAAAUAUUGUUUCUUCUUUCAUCUUCCUUCCUUCCUUUCUUUCUUUCUCAAAUGAUGAUGAUUCAAAUAUUGUGUCUUAUCUAUUAAUCGCAUGCAUAAUUAAUAAAUUUGGAUAUACUGUUACUAUCUUCAUCUUCUUUCAUCUUUCUUUCUUUCUAAAUGAUGACUUUUCUAAAUUAUUGAUGAACAAAGCGGAACAUAUAUAUAGGCAAAAUUACACUGGAGGUCUUUUAUCUUAUUUAUUUGUAANNNNNNNNNNNNNNNNNNNNNNNNNNNNNNNNNNNNNNNNNNNNNNNNUUUUUUUUUUUUUUUUUUUUUUUUUUUGUAACGUUUAAGUCCUUUAUCUAUAUAAAUUUAUACGAAUCAAUCCUGUUUUUCAUUUUUUAUUUUAAAAAUGAUGAGUUGGCAAGCCAUGUAGGAAAAUCUUAUUUUUUUAAAUAUUAACAAUUUUGAAAUCUAAAAUUCAUAUGAACAUUCAUCUCAUGUUCAUCAGCUCCUUCAUAAAAUUAAAAUCAAUCGAGAAACAAAUUCUGUAUUUUAACCGAAAAACCCAGUUUCCAUUAAUUUUAUUUUUAUGAAUUUUAUGGAUUUUGGACAUUUUUUGGCAUUUAAUCUAGUAUAUAUAUAUAUCAUGAAAAAUGUUAUGAUUAAUAUAUUGUUUUUAAUUUGAUCAGAUUACUAUCUUCCUAAUAAUAUUUGGAAACGGCCAACAACACCAGAUUGGAGACACACCAUCACCAUCACCGUACCGGCGAACCCAAAAAUUCAAUUUCAUCAGUGAAUAUGCACAAGAAUAAAGUGUUCCUUCUAUUUUGCUUUCAGUAUGUAGAGUUACAUGAUGACUCAUUGUUCGGUUGAUACUAUAGUAGCAUUUUACCACUGCUAACUAUGUAUGUAGUGAUGGUGUUAAUAUGCACAUUAUUGUUCAUCAUUACUUAGUUUUUUACUUUUUAGUUUUAUACAAUACGAAGGAAACAUAUCCAGUUACUGUUUAUAACAAGCUCUCUUUCUCUUUUUUACCUUUUGGUUAUAAUAUAAUUGCACAUACUCAGUGUAGAAAUAUAUAUAAAAUUUUGAUUUCUUUUAUUUGGUUGGAUGGUUAAAGAAAAUUAAAUAAAUCCCUAAAUGUUUAAACUUAACAUACUGUAACUUACAUAUAUAGAUCAGAAUUCUAUGUGAAUAAAAUGCAAAGUCUUAACACUAUUUGAAUAUAUAGCACAAGUCAACCCAAAUUCUGCUACUCCAAUUCUAUUCAACUUCAGCAGGGAAAACAACUUAAUGAAGCUCUUAUAGCAUAAACACUUAUCAUAUAAGUCCUAAAUCCAUAUCUUAUCCUUAUUCUUCUGUGCUGCAUAUUUGACUGUAUAAUGGGACAUUUUGUUACCAGCCCAAGCAGAAUAUUGUCACCAUUUUUCUUAAAAAAAAUCUCUUAAAAAUCAACAAACUAACUAACUACUAACUAACAAACAAAGUAGAAAACUGUUAUUCAGUUAGUUAUAAUUUGCUUAAUCUCUCUCUCUCUCUCUCUCUCUCUCUCUCAUUAGGAUCUUAUAUAAAUAUACACAUUAAUUCAUUUUCUCAAGUCACUGUUUCAUUUGAUAUCUCUCUUUCAAAAUCAACGAUUCAGUCUCUCUCUCUCUCAAGAACCAUUUUCAGUGUACUAGCUCUUCAAACCAUGUUUCACAGAGGAAGUCGAGUACAUCCUGAACCACCACAGGAAGAACAACCAGAAGGAGGACAACCAGCUGGAGGAGAAGGUGGUGGACAGCUAGGAGGAGGAGGAAAUGGAGGACACGCAUUCAGAGUCAAAGUUGGAGUUGCUGUUAUUCUGAUCAGUACUAUCUUCGUAAGAACUUCUUCAUCUUUCUUUCUUUCUUUCUCAAUGAUCAUUCAUUUACGGUUUUGUGUGUAAUCUAUUAAUCUCAUGAAAAUAUUGUUUCUUCUUUCAUCUCUUUUUCUUUCUUCUUCAAUCAUGAUGAUUCAUUUACGUGUUUGUGUUAUAUACUAUUAUCAUUUGCGUGUUUGGAUAUACUGUUAUCUAUUUUCAUCUUCUUUCAUCUUUCUUUCUAUAUGAUUGAUGAUCAAAGCAGAACAUAUAUAGUACUGUACUUAAAUAUUAUGCAUGAUUAAUUAUUAUUAAUAUAUUGUUUUUAAUUGGAUCAGGGGUUAAUUCUCUUCAUAGUACUUGGAAGCGACCACCAGACCGGAGACACACCACCACCAACAUAAUCACCAUCACCGUCACCAUUACCACGACCGUAACCGGCGAACCCAAAAAACCAUUGAAGCCGGCCAUUUAAUUCAUCUUCAUUAGUGAAUAUGCACAAGAAUAAAGUGUUCCUUCUAUUUUGCUUUCAGUAUGUUGAUACUAUAGUAGCAUUUUACCAAUGCUAACCAUGUAGUAGUAUAUGUAGUAGGGAUGGUGUUAAUAUGCACAAUAUUGUUCAUCAUUACUUAGUUUCUUACUUUUUAGUUUUACUCGUGUAAUGUGAAGGAAACAUAUCCA
rnacentral:lncRNA from 1 species